AUUGAACGCUGGCGGCAUGCCUUACACAUGCAAGUCGAACGGUAACGGGCCUUCGGGUGCCGACGAGUGGCGAACGGGUGAGUAAUACAUCGGAACGUGCCCGAUCGUGGGGGAUAACGCGGCGAAAGCUUUGCUAAUACCGCAUACGAUCUACGGAUGAAAGCAGGGGACCGCAAGGCCUUGCGCGGACGGAGCGGCCGAUGGCAGAUUAGGUAGUUGGUGGGAUAAAAGCUUACCAAGCCGACGAUCUGUAGCUGGUCUGAGAGGAUGAUCAGCCACACUGGGACUGAGACACGGCCCAGACUCCUACGGGAGGCAGCAGUGGGGAAUUUUGGACAAUGGGCGCAAGCCUGAUCCAGCCAUGCCGCGUGCAGGAUGAAGGCCUUCGGGUUGUAAACUGCUUUCGUACGGAACGAAAAGCAUUCUUUUAAUUCAGGAGGGUCAUGACGGUACCGUAAGAAUAAGCACCGGCUAACUACGUG
rnacentral:rRNA from 1 species